rnacentral:rRNA from 1 species
CAUCCUGCGGGAGGCAGCAGUGGGGAAUAUUGGACAAUGGGCGCAAGCCUGAUCCAGCCAUGCCGCGUGAGUGAUGAAGGCCCUAGGGUUGUAAAGCUCUUUCACCGGUGAAGAUAAUGACGGUAACCGGAGAAGAAGCCCCGGCUAACUUCGUGCCAGCAGCCGCGGUAAUACGAAGGGGGCUAGCGUUGUUCGGAUUUACUGGGCGUAAAGCGCACGUAGGCGGACUAUUAAGUCAGGGGUGAAAUCCCGGGGCUCAACCCCGGAACUGCCUUUGAUACUGGUAGUCUUGAGUUCGAGAGAGGUGAGUGGAAUUCCGAGUGUAGAGGUGAAAUUCGUAGAUAUUCGGAGGAACACCAGUGGCGAAGGCGGCUCACUGGCUCGAUACUGACGCUGAGGUGCGAAAGCGUGGGGAGCAAACAGGAUUAGAUACCCCAGUAGUCCCAUGA